UAUUCUGCCCCCUGGGGAAGGAUGAGAAGCUUCGACUAAGGUUCGACUCGAGCGAAGCGAGAGAACGUUGCCGCAGGCAACGGCCCGAAGGGCGAGGCGCUUUAGCGCCGAGUAAUCCUUCCCCCACCACCA
rnacentral:sRNA from 1 species